CAGCAGCCGCGGUAAUACGAAGGGGGCUAGCGUUGUUCGGAUUUACUGGGCGUAAAGCGCACGUAGGCGGACUUUUAAGUCAGGGGUGAAAUCCCGGGGCUCAACCCCGGAACUGCCUUUGAUACUGGAAGUCUUGAGUAUGGUAGAGGUGAGUGGAAUUCCGAGUGUAGAGGUGAAAUUCGUAGAUAUUCGGAGGAACACCAGUGGCGAAGGCGGCUCACUGGACCAUUACUGACGCUGAGGUGCGAAAGCGUGGGGAGCAAACAGGAUUAGAUACCCCUGUAGUCCCUGUCUCUUAUAA
rnacentral:rRNA from 1 species